rnacentral:rRNA from 1 species
ACAGUGGACGCGAGCAUCUGUGGCCAAGUUUUUAAGGGCGCACGGUGGAUGCCUUGGCACCAGGAACCGAUGAAGGACGUGAGAGGCCGCGAUAGGCCC